UUUGGUGGAUUACAAGGACAUUCCACCAGUUUACAUACCAGCAUUAUAAGGACAUUUGGGAUUAUGAGGACCAAGGACAUGUCCUUAUAAUUCAAACAAUGUAAAUGCAUAUGUUUGAGCCUCAGGAACAAUCUCCUGCUUUUUUUCGGAAUGUCCUUUUAAACGGGUAAACCAGUUUUCUGGUGUUUUUGAGUGUAUGCCAUCACGCCUCCUAAUGGCAGGCUUUGUAACUGCUCAUUUAUACACAUUACGACCUAAAUGGGCGGAGACCGUUCGGAAAACGCGGGCUGCAUUUUGAUUGGUUAAUCAUGCUCCCGCGUACCGGAGGCGGAGUCUCUCCGGGAGCGCGCAAUCUACCAAUAGACGUCGUCAAGUGAUGCGGCAGCAGCAGUGACAAAUUAGAUGAAUGCAAACAUCAUUGUCAUGAUCAUGUCAUGAUCAUCAUGUCAAGACCCUUCCCAGAAGCAAGUUCAGAACAGAUGAACACACACACCGUUACUGAGAUGUCAAGACCUUUCCUAGAAGCAAGUUCAGAACAG